rnacentral:rRNA from 1 species
GACGAACGCUGGCGGCGUGCCUAACACAUGCAAGUUGAGCGACGAACCAGGGCUUGCCCUGGGGCAAAGCAGCGAACGGGUGAGUAACACGUGGGUAACCUACCCCGAUAACCGGGACAACCCGAGGAAACUCGGGCUAAUACCGGAUGUGCUCACUGGACUUCGGUUCAGUGCGUAAAGGAAGCUUCGGCCUCCGUAUCGGGAGGGGCCCGCGGCCCAUUAGUUUGUUGGUUAGGUAACGGCUCACCAAGACCGCGAUGGGUAGCUGGUCUGAGAGGACGAUCAGCCACACUGGGACUGAGACACGGCCCAGACUCCUACGGGAGGCAGCAGUGGGGAAUCUUGCGCAAUGCGCGAAAGCGUGACGCAGCAACGCCGCGUGGGGGAAGAAGGCCUUCGGGUUGUAAACCCCUUUCAGGAGGGACGAAGGUUCGGCGGUGAAUAGCCGUCCGGACUGACGGUACCUCCACAAGAAGCCCCGGCUAACUACGUG